UCCUUUCUUUCUUUCUUUUCCUUUUCUCUCUCUUUCUCUCUUAUUCCAGCCCGUAUGAAGAAGGAAACUGCUGGUUCUUUUGUUUUUUUAUCUCAUUUUAAGUUCAUUUUAUCUCUUUUUAUUAGUUUUGUCAAGUGGUGAUUGGGUGGGAGUAAGUGAGUGACAUCAUGUGAUGUCAUUAUUUGCUUAAUUUUUGAUUUUUCUUUUCUUUUCUUUUCUACUUAAUUUCAAUUCAAUUUUUAGCAAUAU
rnacentral:misc_RNA from 1 species